CUCCCGGUCGCGGCCGGCUGCGACAGAGCCUGGGCUCGAACCCAGAAUCUCUGGUGGCACAGCUAGCACUGCGCCACCCAGGAGGCCCAGACAAAGGCUUCUUGAUCCAGAGCUUGACACAUGCAGGAAUUACUGUGAACAUUCCUCCAUUCCUGAACCACAAAGGUUCAUAGAGCGUGAGAUGCAUCUCACAAAAGACAUAGCGAGAAAUGGGAUCCAUGUUGAUAGGGCAAAUGCUUGACUAUAAGAUGUAAAAAUCCUGAAAUUCAUCCCACCUUGUCUGCGUUAUAGUAAUGUGCUGGUGCAGACUUGCUGUGCACUUGUUAACCUCCAAGGCACACUCAUCAGAGAAGUAGCUGUUGGUUGGGAAACGAGAACAACGAGGCAUGAGGGUUUGGUGUUAAGGGACGAGUUGUCACAUUGUCGAAGGAGUGCCUCCCUCAGACCAUCCUGUGCAUGGACAUCCUGUGCCAGUGUGAUGUGGUUGUGGAGACUACAGCACAUCAAGCCUGUGGACGAACAAUUCAGUAACUCAUCAAAUAUGAUACAAUAUUGUGUAAAACAUUGAAUUUGUAGAUGUCUCAGUUUUGCCUGUCCCCUUUUCCACAUGUUUUAUACAUGAGACGUGACAUGCGGAACAUAAGGCUCACCCCACGAGAAGUAUGAUCAAUGCCACCCUCAGCAAGGAGAAGUGAUGUCUCUCCCAUCCUGCAUUUAGCAGAAACUGAAGCUCCACAAAACAAAGGGGAAAACAGCUACUGACAGGUGGUGCGAAGAAGACGCUGAUCCAGUGCCCCCCCAAAAAACAUUGGAAUAAAACUUCAAGAAAUGAGGUGUUGCUUGCGGAACAUCCUGCUCAUCCCAUGAGAAGCAGAGCAUGAUCAAUGCCACUUGCAGCAAGGAGAUCUUCUGGAAUGGAUGUACUCUCACUCUGGGGGGACCAACCAGGAACAACCCUAAUUAGCUUCAGUGGCAAGCCAGCAGUGGGAUGCAGGGUGGUAUGCUGCUGGCCCAUUGAAGAGGAGUGGGACAACAUUCCACAGGCCACAAUCAACAGCCUGAUCAACUCUGUGCGAAGAUGUCGAGCUGCAUGCUGCAAAUGGUGGUAUCACCAGAUACUGACUGGUUUUCUUAUCCACACCCCUACUUUUUUUAAAGUAUAUGUGACCAACAGAUCCAUAUCUAUAUUCCCAGUCAUGUGAAAUCUAUAAAUUAGGGCCUAAUGAAUGUAUUUAAAUGGACUGAUUUCCUUAUAUGAACUGUAACUCAGUAAAAGCAUGAAUUGUGUUUAUGUUGCACUUAUAUUUACAAUUGGCUCAUUCAUCCCCCCUCCUCUCCCCUGUAACUAUUCCCCAGCUCGUUGCUGCAAAUGAGAACGUGUUCUCAGUCAACUUACCUGGUAAAAUAACGGAUAAAUAAAUAAAAAAAAUUCUGUCCAGUGUCGUAGAAUUACAACAUUAUGUUAAUCACAUUACUUUUAUAUUAGAAUGUAUCCCUAUAUUAGUACAUUCCCACUGUCAUAUCUAAUAGGCAACAUAAUAGUGUUCUUAGAACUGUGUCUGUGAAUUGAGAGGAGCCGCUGAGAUUUUAACACUGACAGUAGAUUUACGAUGGCUUGGUGUCUGUGUACCUGUUUGUCUGUGCCAGGGACAUCAAAUCUCCUUUUCCUCUCCCAUAUGGCAGAUGAAUGCUGAACUUAAUCGUUUGAGGGAAUGACCUGCUGUCUAUGUUACAUUAGUACUUCUGUAUAAACAAGCAGUAAAUGACCAAGAGACAGAAACUUGUUGCUAUGUAAUCUUGAUGUCUGUUGCAUGAGAGCACAAUGUACCUUUGUAUAAAUUCUCUCAUCUGUGAUGGACUUUACUAUAAAAUGUGUUGCAUUAGUCCCGCUGGUUGAGUUCUCAGUCAUCACCUCCAGGGUGGUUAUCAAACCCCCUUUUCUUUUCUUUUCUUACAGUGGGAUGCCGGAGGGUAGUGCGUUGAACUUGUGAAGGGGGUGGGCACAGUCAAACUGGAUGGAUGUCUUUGUCUCUGUGUCUCGCUUCAUCAAUUAAAACAGUCACCAAUCAAUUUCAUUAAUUCG